rnacentral:rRNA from 1 species
GGUAGCCGCACGAGCGCACCCUUAUCCUUAGUUGCCAGCACGUAAUGGUGGGAACUCUAACGAUACUGCCGGUGACAAACCGGAGGAAGGUGGGGACGACGUCAAGUCAUCAUGGCCCUUACGAGAUGGGCUACACACGUGCUACAAUGGCAAGUACAAAGGGUUGCAAACUCGCGAGAGUAAGCGGAUCCCAUAAAGCUUGUCGUAGUCCGGAUUGGAGUCUGCAACUCGACUCCAUGAAGUCGGAAUCGCUAGUAAUCGUGGAUCAGAAUGCCACGGUGAAUACGUUCCCGGGCCUUGUACACACCGCCCGUCACACCAUGGGAGUGGGCUGCAAAAGAAGUGGAUAGCUUAACCUUCGGGAGGGCGUUCACCACUUUGUGGUUCAUGACUGGGGUGAAGUCGUAACAAGGUAGCCGUAGGGGAACCUGCGGCUGGAUCACCUCCUU